GCCAAGACGAUAUUUUUUAGGGUAUGAAGAUAUUUUAUGACGGAAAAUUUAUCGAGAUUGGAAGUUUUAAAAAAUAUGAAGAAAUAUAACGAAUAUUAAUGCCGAGGAUUUUAAUUAUCCAGGAUUCCCUUCACCUACUGUACAUUUAUUUUUCCGAUGAGUCACGGCAAUUUUUCGCCUCUUUUCCUGGUACAUGUUUUCAUUAUUUGCUGACAAGUAUUCUCGCGUCAUUCAUCGUACCAAAACCGUGUAAUCCAAUCAAUGCCGACAUGGUAUUAUUAAUAUGGGCCACAGAGAGGCUCAUCAAUGCACGUGGCCGCACAGAAAGAAUAAUUUAAUUAUUCAUGGACAUUGUAACUUUGGAAAACAAUUGAAAUAACUACGUGAAGUUAUUCCUCGUGCUGGAGUUCGCAUUUCAAACUUCCAUUACUUUACCCAGAAUAGAGGGAACGGAAAACCAAUUUUUCAAGUUUCCGAGGGAGAGAGAGAGAGAAGCGUUUGCCGGCAGAAGCUCAUCCAGAUAAUGAGACUUUUUCUUCUGUGUACACUAAGAAACGAAAAUUGUCAUCCGUUUCACAUCGGUGAGCUCCAGUUGUCUCUUCCAUGGCUUCAUGCUGUCUACACUCGACCAACAUCUACGAUUGCCCGACAAACAGAAAAUUCCCCUGAACAGAACAACAUUACCUGGUGGAUAUACAGUGACACUUGUCAUAUCUUAUCAGACCCGAUACACCUCAAUUUGCACUUGUUUGAAUGGAUCGCAAUAAAAAUGAGUGGAAAUUCAAGAAUUGGAAUCGAUUGAGAGACAUCUACAGAGGUUCGAUCCUCUAUUUUUUCAUCCUUGGACGGAUAACAGCGAGAGUCACGCGAUGAGAUUCUCCAAAACUAUCUCACUUCACAACAGCCUUCAAGAGCUUUUCAGGAGGAAGGUGAAUGAGUGAGUGAGGAAUGAAUGAUAAAUGCAUUAGGGACUGAAUGAAAAUUCAGAUUAUUUAAACGCUGGAUUAAAGCACAGGAAAGUGCUUAAUCUGAGGAAUUUUUGACCUAAAUGUCAGGUGAUUGAGCGAUUGCCCUCGGGGGUUUACUUUUCAAGGAAUUAAUACUUCAUCACUACUUAAUUUCUCAUUAUUCAAAUCACAACAAUUAAAUAUCAAAACGUGUAACCGAAAGCUGAGGGUUAAUUAGUAAAAAUAGAAUAGAAACUUUAGAAAUGAGGAUGACAAUAAUUAUUGACUUAGACUUCAAUUGAAUUCAUUGAUGACUUUGAUUGUGAUUCCCCAGCUUCAUUAAUGUCUACUAUUUAUUAUGAAUAAUUGUCUCGUUGCACAUCAAAGAAUUUUGAGAAUAGGGAAUGAUUUCUAAUUGAUCUGGAAAAUCACGAAUUCGGCCAGUUGAAUCUUACAAAGACUCAUUAACAGAUAACCGGCAACUCCACAUAAAAAUGAUAAACUUUGGAAUAAUCAAUCUAUCAAAAAAUAAACCUCAAUUCUACUAAUUUAAGUUUCAUUAUUGUUUCCAAUUUCCAUCAUCUUAAUCAUUGAUAUCCCCUGAAGAGUCAAAUGGAAUUGAAGAUAAAGAAAUUGGAACAGCAGGUCUUAAUAAAUUGUCUAAUGUUGGAAAAUAAAAUGCGACAUUGAACAUGAAAACCAUUUCUUCUAGUUGUGGAUAAAUGGUACCAGCAUGAAUGGUAUGACGUGAAAACUUACCAUUGUGAAAGUGUUCCGAACCAACUCAAAACAAAAACACUAAACUGUUAUCACUGAAAUCACUUCACGUGUUUGUAAAAUCAAUACGGCGUCCCCGGAAAAAUGUGUUGUAACAUUGUGAUGAGUAUUGACUAAAUGCGCAUCCCGGCACAGUAUAAAUCCGACUGAAGUGUCUCCCGGUGUUGUGAGUAAUUCGUAUGACGUGAUACUCCUCAUACGGAUAAACGAAUGACUCAGAGAAGAUGUUAGAGGAGUGUAGCAAGCGCCGCGCCGCGCCACCGACUGAUCGUGAGUGAGACCAAGUGCCACUGGCCGUGUGGCCGUUGUGCCAGUCCCCACGAGAAAACGUGUUAUUUCUAUUUCCCUCUUUUUUCAAUUUUUAUUCACUCAUUCACAUUCAGCACGAACACGCGGGCGCGACCGCCGAGCGCCCACAUUUCAUGAGGGACAUUUCUCAUUGCGAGGACGAGGAUGAGGAUGAUGUCGAAACACUGUGAGAGAUUAUUGUACCAGGGGCUUGAUGAAAUUUCUGGAUGUAUUUGACGUUAAUGUUUGGAAAUUGUCAGGGGGAUUCGGGCUCCAUCGAUUUUCCCGAGACACCAGGUAGUUGCGGGGGUCGAUGAACCUUCGGGGUUGAAGGCAAUUUGACCUAAUUACGUUGUCAAUGUCAGGUGGUCCAUUGUCACUGCGAUGCACACGGUCAUUGAUGGAUUAUUGUCCUCGAGGACGUCGUUGGAACGAACCCCAUUUGCCAAACAUUAUGGAGAUUAUCCGGAACCCCUUGAAUUGGUUUUUAUUGGUAAUUUUACAAUUAGCAAUAAGACAACUGUAUUGUUAGAACAAGCAUGAAAAAUCGGGGGCAGUGGCAAAAUUGUCGUAUUAUUUUUCUUGGAUUAGAGAUCUUGGAAGUAAUAAAAUCUCUCGUCAAUUGAACUUGUUUCUCUCACCAGAAUGUUUAUUGCCUUAAACGAACAAAACUCUAUUCUAUGACGACAAUAAAUGCAUUCAAAGUUUGUUGAAAUGAGAAUAAAAUAAUCAAUAAGAAAUGGGGAUGUCGAUCGCGUGGCGAUUGACGGCCACUUGACCCAAUUGAGUUGGACACAUCAGGUGGUCCAUUGACGUGAUUUCCCCACUUGAUUAUUUUGUUUCCAUUAUUAUUGUUUUUUCUCCCGAUGAAGGGAAGUGGAAUGUUUAAUCGAUUGAGUCGA